GUAGGGAAUUUUCCACAAUGGACGAAAGUCUGAUGGAGCAACGCCGCGUGCAGGAUGACAGCCUUCGGGUCGUAAACUGCUUUUAUGAGUGAAGAUUUAGACGGUAACUCAAGAAUAAGGGACGGCUAACUACGUGCCAGCAGCCGCGGUCAUACGUAGGUCCCAAGCGUUAUCCGGAAUUACUGGGCGUAAAGAGUUGCGUAGGUGGUUUUUCAAGCAGAAUAUGAAAGCGUACGGCUCAACCGUAUACACGUAUCCUGAACUGUUAAACUAGAGGGCGAGAGAGGUUACUAGAAUUUCUUGUGUAGGAGUGAAAUCCGUAGAUAUAAGAAGGAAUACCGAUGGCGUAGGCAGGUAACUGGCUCGCACCUGACACUAAGGCACGAAAGCGUGGGUAGCAAACGGGAUUAGAAACCCUAGUAGUCC
rnacentral:rRNA from 1 species